rnacentral:rRNA from 1 species
ACUUUUACAAUGAAGAGUUUGAUCCUGGCUCAGGAUGAACGCUAGCUACAGGCUUAACACAUGCAAGUCGAGGGGCAUCAGGAAGAAAGCUUGCUUUCUUUGCUGGCGACCGGCGCACGGGUGAGUAACACGUAUCCAACCUGCCCUUUACUCGGGGAUAGCCUUUCGAAAGAAAGAUUAAUACCCGAUAGCAUAAUGAUUCCGCAUGGUUUCAUUAUUAAAGGAUUCCGGUAAAGGAUGGGGAUGCGUUCCAUUAGGUUGUUGGUGAGGUAACGGCCCACCAAGCCUUCGAUGGAUAGGGGUUCUGAGAGGAAGGUCCCCCACAUUGGAACUGAGACACGGUCCAAACUCCUACGGGAGGCAGCAGUGAGGAAUAUUGGUCAAUGGGCGAUAGCCUGAACCAGCCAAGUAGCGUGAAGGAUGAAGGCUCUAUGGGUCGUAAACUUCUUUUAUAUAAGAAUAAAGUGCAGUAUGUAUACUGUUUUGUAUGUAUUAUAUGAAUAAGGAUCGGCUAACUCCGUGCCAGCAGCCGCGGUAAUACGGAGGAUCCGAGCGUUAUCCGGAUUUAUUGGGUUUAAAGGGAGCGUAGGUGGACUGGUAAGUCAGUUGUGAAAGUUUGCGGCUCAACCGUAAAAUUGCAGUUGAUACUGUCAGUCUUGAGUACAGUAGAGGUGGGCGGAAUUCGUGGUGUAGCGGUGAAAUGCUUAGAUAUCACGAAGAACUCCGAUUGCGAAGGCAGCUCACUGGACUGCAACUGACACUGAUGCUCGAAAGUGUGGGUAUCAAACAGGAUUAGAUACCCUGGUAGUCCACACAGUAAACGAUGAAUACUCGCUGUUUGCGAUAUACAGUAAGCGGCCAAGCGAAAGCAUUAAGUAUUCCACCUGGGGAGUACGCCGGCAACGGUGAAACUCAAAGGAAUUGACGGGGGCCCGCACAAGCGGAGGAACAUGUGGUUUAAUUCGAUGAUACGCGAGGAACCUUACCCGGGCUUAAAUUGCAGUGGAAUGAUGUGGAAACAUGUCAGUGAGCAAUCACCGCUGUGAAGGUGCUGCAUGGUUGUCGUCAGCUCGUGCCGUGAGGUGUCGGCUUAAGUGCCAUAACGAGCGCAACCCUUAUCUUCAGUUACUAACAGGUUAUGCUGAGGACUCUGGAGAGACUGCCGUCGUAAGAUGUGAGGAAGGUGGGGAUGACGUCAAAUCAGCACGGCCCUUACGUCCGGGGCUACACACGUGUUACAAUGGGGGGUACAGAAGGCAGCUAGCGGGUGACCGUAUGCUAAUCCCAAAAGCCUCUCUCAGUUCGGAUCGAAGUCUGCAACCCGACUUCGUGAAGCUGGAUUCGCUAGUAAUCGCGCAUCAGCCACGGCGCGGUGAAUACGUUCCCGGGCCUUGUACACACCGCCCGUCAAGCCAUGGGAGCCGGGGGUACCUGAAGUACGUAACCGCAAGGAUCGUCCUAGGGUAAAACUGGUGACUGGGGCUAAGUCGUAACAAGGUAGCCGUACCGGAAGGUGCGGCUGGAACACCUCCUUUCU